ensembl:lincRNA
CGCUUGUGCAAAUGCUGCGACAUCUAUGAGCGCCUCCCCACCCCCAGACCCUCUCUGCGCUGGUAUAUAUAGCCAGAGAAGGGAACCAGACAGUCCUGGCAGUCAAAAUGAGGCUUCUCCUCCCCGUCUGCUGCCUGCUGGCUCUACUGGCACUCACCACUGCAGAUGCAGUGGACUCUGAGACUGAGCAACUUGUGCCACUCAAGCUGAAGUCUGAAGGUCAGCUUUUUAACUGCUGUGACGGCACAGAAGAUAUAAGCCAAAGCACAUCCAAUGACACUCCUGCACCAAACAGACCCAUCUGCCAGCCCUGUGGCACAGGUGCACAGACUGAAGAUGCCAGCUUGGAGGAGGAUGAGGCCACUUCUGAGGAGAAAUCUGAAGAGUUGAGUCAAGAGGAGGCAGCGUCUGAAGAGAAAUUUGAGGAAGAGGCAGGAGCAGAGUUAGAUGCAUCUGAUGAAGUGUUGGAGGAGGAAGUUCUUGAUGUGAAGGAGAUGUCUGAUGUGGAGGCACAACUGGGUGAAGAAUCUCUGGAAGAGGGUGUUGAGGAAGAUUCGCAGAUCAGUGAUGAGUCGGUGGGGGAGGAAGAGGAGGAUCUUCAGACUGAAGAUGAAGCAGGUGAAGUGGAACUUUCUCAGAAUGAAGAACAGGUAAUUGUGGAAGAAGACGUUGAGCAGACUGAAGAAGAGAAAGAGGAGGAUAUUCAGACUGAAGAUGAAGCCUUUCAAACUGAAGACGAGGUAGUUGAGGAAGAGGAAAGUCUGCAAACCGUGGAGGAGGUAGUGGAGGAGGAGGAGGUUCUUCAGACCGAAGAAGAGGUAGUAGAGGAAGAGGAAGCUCUUCAGACUGAAGAGGAGAUAGUUGAGGAGGAAGCUCUUAUGACCAAAGAGGAGGUAGUUGAAGAAGAGGAAGUUCUUCAGACUGAAGAUGAAGCAGGCCAAGGAGAGGAACAUUCCCAGGCUGAUAAAGAGGUAGUUGAAGAAGAGGAGGUUCUUCAGAUUCAAGAUGAGGCAGAUGUAGAAGAGGAGGUUUCUCAGACUGAAGAAGAGGCAGCAGAAGAUUCUCAGAUUGAACAGCCAUUGGAGCAAGUGGAAGAGGUAGCAGAAGAAGAGGACACUUUAACAGAGGAAGAAGGAGCUCCAGAGGUUGUGGAAGAAAGGCAAUUUGUAGAAGAACCAAAAGCAGCUGAAGAGUUGGUGGAAACUGAAGUAGAGGAGCCAGCCACAGAUGUUGUUGAAGAGGUUGUAGAAUUAGCCCAAGAGGUAAAUGAGGAACCAACUCCAGAGCAAACUACUGACCAAGAAGAUGCUCCUGCACCUGCCGAAGAAGCAAAGGUGGAACUAGUGUCAGAGGAUGUGCCAGCAACCAAAGCAUCUGCAAAAGUGGAGAAAAACGCCCCCUCAGGUCCUGUCACAAGAGAUCGCUCUCACAUUGAAGAGACGCUGCGUCUGGCAACAGCUGAACCUUCACGAGAAUAUGUUGGUGAGUCAUAUAAUCAAAAUGAAAAAAAAAAAAAGGAUUUUAAAUAAGCUUCUCUAGCUCAGCUAUAUGCACAAUAACAGGCCAGUUAUAUCAAGUAUAUCUACAGUCAUAUUAGAUUGACCAAAACAAUUGUCUGUGUGCUCACUGUUUUGGUAAAACCUACAGCACAGAAAGCUAAAUCAUACGCAAUUAAAAUAUUGGAAGUAAUAGUAAAGCUAAAAAAAAAGAAAAAAAAGAUAACAAUGAUGUUAAAAAUUAGCAAAGUCGUUUGCUAGCUAACACAAAUUUUUCAAAAAUGAUAAAUAGGUAACUUAGGCUGAAGUAGCAGAAUUAUUAGUAAACUGUGAAACAACAGAUCCAGAAAAAGAAAGUGUAUUUUUGUAUGUGUUGCAGUGUUGCAUGUACAAAUACUAUAUACAAACUGCAUGUGUACAUGUGUGUGUGUGUGUGGUGUGUGUGUAUAUAUAUAUAUAUAUAUAUAUAUAUAUAUAUAUAUAUAUAUAUAUAUAUAUAUAUAUAUAUAUAUAUAUAUAUAUGUAUGUGUAUAUAUAUAUAUAUAUAUAUAUAUAUUUA